rnacentral:rRNA from 1 species
AACGUAGGACGCAAGCGUUAUCCGGAUUUACUGGGCGUAAAGCGCGGGCAGGCGGUCUUGCCAGUCUGAUGUGAAAUCUCUCAGCUCAACUGGGAGCAGCCAUUGGAAACUACAAGACUGGAGUCUGGCAGAGGUAGGCGGAAUUCCGGGUGGAGUGGUGAAAUGCGUAGAGAUCCGGAGGAACAUCAGAGGCGAAGGCGGCCUACUGGGCCAGUACUGACGCUGAGCCGCGAAAGCCAGGGGAGCGAACGGG